CUCUGAUUGGGGGAGAGAGGGGGACAUUUAAUGUUUAUGAAUGAUUUGGGAUCAGUCUAUGUUUGGGGGAGGGAGGAUAACAGUGAAUGUUUAUGGUUAGGAUCAGUCUCUGAUUGGGGAGGGGGAGAACAGCGAAUGUUUAUGAAAGAUUUGGGAUCAGUCUCUGAUUGGGGCAGGGGGGAGAACAGUGAAUGUUUAUGAAUGAUUUAAGAUUAGUCUGUAGUUGAGGGGUGAACAGUGAAUGUUUAUGGUUUAGGAUCAGUCUCUGGUUGGGGAGGGGGGAGAACAGUGAAUGUUUAUGAUCAGUCUGUGUUUAGGAGGGGGGAGAACAGCAAAUGUUUAUGAUUUCGGAUCAGUCGCUGAUUGGGGGAAGGAGGAGAACAGUGAAUGUUUAUAGUUCGGAUCAGUCUCUGAUUGGGGGAGGCGAGAGAAAAGUGAAUGUUUAUGGUUCGGAUCAGUCUCUGAUUGGGGGAGGCGAGAGAACAGUGAAUGUUUAUGAAUGAUUUAGGAUCAGUCUGUGUAUGGGGAGAAUAGUGAAUGUUUAUGGUUUAGGAUCAGUCUCUGAUUGGGGAGGGAGGGGAACAGUGAAUGUUUAUGAAUGAUUUAGGAUCAGUCUAUGUUUGGGGGAGGGAGGAUAACAGUGAAUGUUUAUGGUUUAGGAUCAGUCUUUGAUUGGGGAGGGGGAGAACAGCAAAUGUUUAUGAAAGAUUUAGGAUCAGUCUCUGAUUGGGGCGGGGGGGAGAACAGUGAAUGUUUAUGAAUGAUUUAGGAUCAGUCUAUGUUUGGGGGAGGGAGGAUAACUGUGAAUGUUUAUGGUUUAGGAUCAGUCUCUGAUUGGGGGAGGGAGGAUAACAGUGAAUGUAUAUGGUUUAGGAUCAGUCUUUGAUUGGGGGAGGGAGGAUAACAGUGAAUGUUUAUGAAAGAUUUAGGAUCAGUCUCUGAUUGGGGCGGGAGGGAGAACAGUGAAUGUUUAUGAAUGAUUUAAGAUUAGUCUGUGUUUGAGGGGUGAACAGUGAAUGUUCAUGGUUUAGAAUCAGUCUCUGGUUGGGGAGGGGGGAGAACAGUGAAUGUUUAUGAUCAGUCUGUGUUUGGGAGGGGGGGAGAACAGCGAAUGUUUAUG